CUUUAUUUCUGCUCAAUGAUUUUUUAAAUUGCUGUGGUAUUUUGACUAUACAAAGGUAUUGAAAUAAGAUUUUAAUUGAAUGCUAAGAGAAUGGAAUCUCAGAAAAUGGCUUUUUUAAAAUUAAAAAUUGAACUUUUUUUAAUUUGUGCAGAAACAAUUAUUUUAAUUAAGGACAAGAAGACCCUAAGAAUUUAUAAAUUUAAAUAAAUAUAAUAAUAUAUUACUUAAAUUUUAGCUGGGGCGGCUAAGAAAUAUUAAAAACUUUUUAAAUUAAAAUGAUCCAUUAUUGAUGAUUAUAUGAAAAAUACUCUAGGGA
rnacentral:rRNA from 1 species